GACGAACGCUGGCGGCGUGCUUAACACAUGCCAGUCGAACGGAAAGGCCCUGCUUUUGUGGUGUGCUCGAGGGGCGAACGGGUGAGUAACACGUGAGUAACCUGCCCUUGACUUUGGUAUAACUUCAGGAAACUGGGGCUAAUACCGGAUAGGAGCUCCUGCUGCAGGGGGGGGGGUGGAAAGUUUCGGCGGUUGGGGAUGGACUCGCGGCUUAUCAGCUUGUUGGUGGGGUAGUGGCUUACCAAGGCUUUGACGGGUAGCCGGCCUGAGAGGGUGACCGGCCACAUUGGGACUGAGAUACGGCCCAGACUCCUACGGGAGGCAGCAGUGGGGAAUAUUGCACAAUGGGCGGAAGCCUGAUGCAGCAACGCCGCGUGCGGGAUGACGGCCUUCGGGUUGUAAACCGCUUUCGCCUGUGACGAAGCGUGAGUGACGGUAAUGGGUAAAGAAGCACCGGCUAACUACGUG
rnacentral:rRNA from 1 species